AUAAUCAAAAUAAAUGAGAAUAUAACCUUAGCUUGACUGACCAAGCAUUUUGCCCAUGAAUUGACGUUAAUAAGAUAUAUGUUUGUUUGCUGUGUUUCUUCCACUUUACAUAUUUUUUGUUUUAAGAAUACUAAAUCAGAUCCAUUUCUAUUCAUAAGAAGAACAACUGACUUGAUCAUUUUUCUAUUAGCCUAUGCGGAUUACAUUUUGAUUACAGGAAAAUCCUAUUCCAACACCAAUGGUUUCUUCUACAAAAUUGACAAAAUUCAUAACCGAAAGGAGUUGAAGAAGAGAUUGAGCAACAGAUUCCAUUUACACUAUCACAAGUAUUGGUAGAGCUUAAGACUUCCAGAAAAGCUAUUCAAGGAAAUUAAAUUCAUUAAUAAUGAAAAACCAUAACCGAAGUUG